AGUGAACGCUGGCGGUAGGCCUAACACAUGCAAGUCGAGCGGCAGCACAGUAAGAGCUUGCUCUUACGGGUGGCGAGUGGCGGACGGGUGAGGAAUACAUCGGAAUCUACUUUUUCGUGGGGGAUAACGUAGGGAAACUUACGCUAAUACCGCAUACGACCUACGGGUGAAAGCAGGGGAGCUUCGGACCUUGCGCGAUUGAAUGAGCCGAUGUCGGAUUAGCUAGUUGGCGGGGUAAAGGCCCACCAAGGCGACGAUCCGUAGCUGGUCUGAGAGGAUGAUCCGCCACACUGGAACUGAGACACGGUCCAGACUCCUACGGGAGGCAGCAGUGGGGAAUAUUGGACAAUGGGCGCAAGCCUGAUCCAGCCAUACCGCGUGGGUGAAGAAGGCCUUCGGGUUGUAAAGCCCUUUUGUUGGGAAAGAAAAGCAGCAGGUUAAUACCCCGCUGUUCUGACGGUACCCAAAGAAUAAGCACCGGCUAACUUCGUG
rnacentral:rRNA from 1 species